ACUACUACAACAACACCACCCACGACUACUACAACCGCAAAACCCACAACUACUAUAACACCUACACCUACCACCACUCCUACAACUCCACCACUCACAUCUACCUCUACUACAAACCGAGAUCCCACAACAACAAGCAAAACAAACAUAGUUGUUUCAACCUCCAAGACAAAUUCUGGAAACCAUAAUGACAGUCACACAACAGAUGGAAGAGAAAAUCCUACACACAAUCCAGCAGUGAAAAACACUACAACUGUAAAUCCACAUGACAAACACACAGAUUCUCACAGUGUUUCAACUGGAAAGCCAAGUGAACCCCAGACAUCAGGUGGCAGCAGCAAUGGGAGCAGUGACUUGGUACCUGGAUGGGGUAUUGCCCUCUUAGUAUUAGCCGCCGCCAUCUUGUUGCUACUCAUAGUCAUCUUCAUCAUGAUGUUGGUCCGGUGGUGUUGUAGCAAACCAGAAAGCCGCAUGGAUACUGCUGAGGAUCCAUAUUACACUGAAAAGCAACAGCCGGCCCACGCGCCUCUGCCAGCGUACACACCUCAGGCCCCAGUGACACCAAAUCCAGCGGCAACCCCUUCCAUUAUUGAGGACGUGCCCAAGAAGAACAGGACAGGGUUCUAUACAGUGAAUCCUUGAGAGUCUCUGGAUGAAUGGGAGCCAUCAAAUAACAGGCAGACUGCAGUAAGCAGAGGCGGAGUGAAGCAACGUGAACUCCUACCGCAUGAAUAGUGUACAGCAUGGAUGAACAAAUAUCAAGAGAUGUUAUUAUACUAUUAUUUAUUAUUACACAGUAGUUUAACUUUUUGUCAUAUUUCAUUUUAUUUAACGGUUAAGAUUAAUAUGAGUAAAUAUUGUAAAUGCCAACACAGAUAAUGGUAAAAACUUUUA